rnacentral:siRNA from 1 species
GGCAAAAGCUGGUUGGUUAUGUU